CUCCCCGAAAACCCGCCCCGUACUGACAAAUCUUACACAAUGAUAUUUUAUUAAUUAUUUUUUAAAAUUUAUUUAAAAAAUAAUUAAGAGAAAUUUUAAAUUAAAAUAUUCUUAUCAUUCCGUUUCCUACUCGUAACUAUCUUUUAAUUUAAAACUACUGAUCUCCGACACUGUAAAAUUUUUUCCCCCACCCACACUGAAAAUAAGAGCUUAAAUUUUCUUCACUUUCUUGGGGGAGGGGUUGUAUGCUUUCCGUGUCAACAGAUUAUAACCGUUAGCAUGUGAAGCGUGUCAAAACAGAAGAUGAAGGAGACACGAGAAUCAAAGGUCUGGAGUAAAAACAAUGGUUUUUACGGAGCUAAAGUUGGUGGUGAAUAUAGUUGGACAUGUACCAUCUCAAAUCAGCUGUAAUGGUGUGUUGAUUAUCCUGAACAAUGUCAGACGCUUGUGGUGACUGAAUUGGUGAUAUUGAGUUUGAUUUGAAAUUGCAUGUUCUUACUAUGUGAACUCGUGUCCUCCUAGCAGACCUUGGUAAAGCUGCAUAGAGGAAAGAGAAUGGGCUGGGUGCUCCUCCGAGGCCUUCUUCAUCAACUUUGAUAUAUUAUGUGAAAACUGCAAAUGAGCAGCCUUCAUCCAACAGUGAUUUUUGCAAUGUUGAUGGCAGAAGGCAAGCUACAGGAACUGGUGAUACCAUUCCUUCAUAUGCACAAAUGUCAUCAGGAACCCAAGCUGCUUGUUCAGGAGUUACUGCAGGACAUGUUUCUAUGGCUAACAUCGUUAGGAUGGGUAGGCCGUACAAUAAGGGUUCCCAAAUUACAUCAGUGACAUCCUAUACUCCUCAAGAUGUGGUAGAUUCAGUAAGCUCAUCCCAGUACUGUCGUAAACCUUCAUGCGAUUCUUCUCCCUCUCCACCAGUAAUGCACCAAGGUCUGCAAUGUUCACAUCCUUCUCAAGUGGCUGAGACAAUUCACGAUUCUCAUGUUAGCGCGAGCUUUCAUGAUGAAUGGCCUGUGUUUGAUCAGCAAACAGCUGCUGGUGGGUCAUAUACCUUUAAAGUGUCUAAUGCCUCCAGCACUGAGAUGUUUUCUAAUUCAAUCUUGCUUAUAUGAAGAUGGGACUAAUUUGACUGAAGACUGCCAAUUGGAGGAGGUCCAAGUAUCAGAGAGUGAUGCCGCUAACAAGAAUCCAGUUUCUAAUUGUGCUGAAUCUGCUUUUCCAUGUAGAAGACAGGAAAAUGUGAAUAGUGCUGUAGGUGAUUCUUGUUGGGGUGAUGGUUUACUGAGGGAUACAAGUUAUGAUUCUCGGAGAUGCAUGAAUGAUCGUUGGGAGGGAACUGGUAGUGGGGUCCAAUUACCUUUCCCAAAUGUUGCUGCACCUUUGAACGAUGAAGUAUCAUCAGCUGCUGCGGACUUGCAGCAGCUAAGUUUGGGGAAGGAGGAACCUGCAGUGCCUCCAUCUGAGGAUAAUCAUGCAGUGUUGUUUCCUGAGUGUAUGCAAGCCUUAGCCGCUGACUUCUCACAUUUGAGUUUCGGUACAUACAAUCUGGGACUUAUCAUGCAGUUUCUGUACCACUAGCACUGACUCCCGCAAAGAGUAACUUGGAGAAGGCUUCUGCAGCAGCAAAUGGUCCAUCCCCUCCAUGCAAGGAGAUUAGGCAAAUCCCGAGCUCCUUGUUGAGUACCUUCAAGAUGAGCAACUUGGAUCCAUGUCAGAUACACAUCGAUUAACUGGAGGUGUUGGGAUUCAUAAGCUUUUAUUUUCACCACCAGAGCUAAUGAGAGAAAGCAUUCAUGAAGUACCCCAUGGGCACGAAUACACCCAUCCAACAUCCAUACCUGAUUCUAAUUUUAAGAAAACCCAAGAACUGGGUUUUCCCUUGGGUGUUAGGAUACAUUCAAAAGCUAAGAACCUUUCUUCUCUUCAUAUGGUAAUACCUCCAAUAUUUUGUUGUUCUGCGUAACUUCAAUUGAUGAGUGGGAAUUAUUGAUGCAUAAGUGCUAUCUAGACAUAUCUUUAUUAUUGAUGCAUAAGUGCUAUCUAGACAUAUCUUUACUAUUUACACGUGGGAUUUAUUGGAGAAGCUCUCAUACUGUUUAGUGAAUAUACUCGCUAAACUGCCCAAAAGAAAAGAUUGGGUGGUUGUCAUUUCUUUCCUUAUAAAUCCCCUCUCUUUUCUUUGUCUUGAGAUUGGCACCCAACUAAUUUGUUCAUUGUCCCUUUUUUUUGGCUUUGGAUUUUUCCUUUUCUAUUCACAGUUUCAUUGCUUGCUCUUGGAACCAAUCUUGCACCUCAUGCUAACAAUGAAGAUGAAAUUUAUGAUGCCUGUAUAUAUUAUAUGUGGAGAUUUAUUGUUGAUGUUUUUUUUUUUUUUUGAUGGUUUACUUCUAUUUCAUAGUACUCUUUGAUUUCAAAAUGUUUAAAGAAUAGCAGUGCCCCUGUGGUUGUAAUUUUUUCCUUGCAGUUCAAAUUUUUCUAUCAUCAGCUGUUAGACAAUGUGGUUUAUGGAGACAACUUUAUCCGUCUUCAUAUUUUGCUAUUCUAGAUGCUGGCUGUUAAUUUACUUUCACUGAACUUCGAAUUGCUGUAUUUUAGUAAACAUGGACUGUUAGAUCCUAAACUUGGACAUCCUGUUGAAGCAAGCAAGUUCAACAAGUAUACCGAAGGAUUUGUUGGCAUCAACUAUUCAAUCUUCAAGAUAUUCUGAGUAUGCCAAGUCCUCUUUCAUUGGAACCCAAUCAAUGUCAAGUUUUGGUAGUACUGUAUCAUCGGCUAGCAAUCCUGCCAUCUCCCAGUCAGAGGUUCUGAGUCGGAGUGCUUUUUCUCUAUCCGUGUCAUGUUCACCAACACUGCCUGGUGUCACUCUUGCCCCACAACCCACACUUUCCCAGCAUCUUUCAGCAAAUUUGUCCUCUCAACCAGCUGUACCUGACCAAUUUGACUGGCUAUCCUGCAAUGGCUCAGAACCAUGCUCAUAAUCCAUCUGCUUUUCAUCAAGCAUAUCAAGAUAACAGCGUGUUCCAUCAUUCCUUGUCAAGCAUGGGCUACAUCCACCCACAAUACAAAACAGGUGCUUCCAGGAGAAAUUUCCCCUUGUCUGAUGUGAACAUUUCUGGUUAUGGAGGUUUUGGGAGCGCUGCCAACUUUCCUGGAGCCAUUUUGCAAGCUGCUGCCCCCGCUGGUUCUGCAGGUGGCCAUGAUUUUUUGCUUUCUCAGCAUCAAGAGAGAAAUGAUUUCACCACACUUCAUCAGAAGGAGACUUCUUUUAAUUGAUUGUCCUUUGCUUUUGUAUUUAUUUCUAUUAAGUAAACCAGAAUGAUGGCUCUUCAAGAAUGAUGUUCACUCUCCCAGACAACGGAUAUAUCAGUUUGCCAGUACUGUUUUCUGGACAUCCAAAAGGUCAGCAGCAGCAGUCACAGGAUUGAUUAUAGGUCCUUAUCAACAAGGUCAGCAGCUCUCACAGGAUUAUGGUGCUCUAUUUCAUUCAAAUGCUUAUCAUUCUCAAGUCGGAAGUCCACCAGAACCACAUCAAAGCCUUUGUGAUCUUAGUUUUAGUAGUUCUCGAGGGGCAGUACCCAAGCAAUAACAACUCUGGCAGCAGAGCUACUAAUGGUUAUAGGUUAUCAUCUAAUUAAUUACCCCACUUUGUCUGAACAGCUGCUGAUGGGUUUCUGUAGCUCUUUUUUUGUAGCGAGUGAAAAAGUGGCAAAUUAAGUUUGUUUUUGCAGUAAAAAGUUCGUUGAUUUUGAGGGUC